rnacentral:rRNA from 1 species
GAUGAACGCUGGCGGCGUGCCUAAUACAUGCAAGUCGAGCGAACAGACGAGGAGCUUGCUCCUCUGACGUUAGCGGCGGACGGGUGAGUGACACGUGGAUAACCUACCUAUAAGACUGGGAUAACUUCGGGAACCCGGAGCUAAUACCGGAAAAUAUAUUAAACCGCAUGUUCAAAUAGUAAAAGAGGUUUUUGCUGUCCUUUAUAGAUGGACCCCCCCCGAUUAAGUAGUUGGUAAGGGAACCGCUUUACAAGGGAACGAUGGGGAACCCACCCGAGAGGGGGAUCCGCCACACCGGAACUGGGACACGGGCCAAAACCCUACGGGAGGGCGCAGGAGGGAAUAUUCCGCAAUGGGGGAAAACCUGACGGGGCAAAGCCGCGUGAGGGAUGAAGGUCUUCGGAUCGUAAAACUCUGUUAUUAGGGAAGAACAAAUGUGUAAGUAACUAUGCACGUCUUGACGGUACCUAAUCAGAAAGCCACGGCUAACUACGUG